UGUUGCCACCAAAAUAAGCUUAUCUUUUAAUCCCAUUUUCUCAUGAAGGUUUUUUUUUAAUCGCUUCUUUUAUUUAUUUGAAAGGCAUAGUUACACAUAGAGAGAGCAAAAGAUAGACAAAGAUCUAUUGGUUCACUUCCCAAGUGGCCACAAUGGCCGGGUUGAACCUGGCUGAAGCCAGGAGAUUGGAACUUCAUCCAGAUCUCCAAUGGGGAUGGCAGGAACCCAAGAAUGUGGGCCAUCUUCUGCUGCUUACCCGGACACAUUGGCAUGGAGCCAGAUCAGGACUGGAGCAGCCAGGACUAAGACCAGUGGCGCUCAUAUGGGUUUGCCAGUGUCAUAGACGGUUUAACCAGCUAUGCCACAGCUCAGGCUUUCUCAUCAAGGUUUUGAAGUAUUCUCAUAUUCUUUUCAUCCUGGUAGAAUCUGGCCUUGUGUCAUACAUGCACUUAGGAACAUAUCAAAUACCAGAAAACUUUCUUUCAUCGUUUUUCUCCAAAAAAUGAGAUUCUCCUUCCUGAGCCCACAUUAUAAAGUCUUUCCCAUGUACUACCUUGUGUUUCUCACUCACUUUAUUUCCAUUCAUGAGCCCCCGCAACCAUCCUGCUAGACUAUAAAUUCCUGGAGAAUAGGGAAAUUUGUAGGCAGUCAAUGAAAACAUUUUUUUAUUCGAAAACAUAUAGCAUGGUGUAAGAAUGAUCUCUAUCUGCAGUCUCCCUGAGAAUCAGAAAAUGCUCUUAUAUGUGAUGAUAUUUUCAUAAGAAACGGAUUGACUGUUGGCUAAAGUCCAGCAGAUCUGGGCAAUGGCUUUUUUUUUCCCCUGGGGAUUUUUCAGUAUAGGGUCAGUGGAUGAUUUGUAAUUUUUUUCAGGGGCAGGUUGGGCCGAGUCCUUUGGCUAGUGUGGCUCUUCAUUCUCCAGUUUCUCUUAUGUGUCUUCCUUGCCAACUUUGGUUUUAUUGGAGAGUAGAUAUUGGGAUAUUCAUUUUGACGUCAAACAAUAUUUUCAGCAAAUUUUAUAAAGAAUUUAAAUUAAUUUUCAGCUAAUUUCCCUUUUUUACAGCCCAAAUCCAGCUUGUGAAACUUGCAAAAAAACAUCUCAGAGGCAGAUAUCCAUGGAUAAAGCAUUAUUCUUCCUGUCCUGUCUUAAUGAGCUAAGUAAGGCUGUUUAUGGAUGAUGGAACAGCUGCCAGAUCCCACCCCCAGGGUGACAGCAGCUCAGUAGUGGGAGAUGUGAUUCUUAAAAUUUGCAUAUCCUCUGUACACAUACAGUAGGCAUAUAUAUAGACACACAUUCUUAUUAAUUUUGAAAAUGACAUUCACAAUCCUACUUGCCUACUCAAUUCUUUUACACAAAGGAUUAGUGGAGGCCAAGGAGAUUGAAAUAAAAUGAAUUUGAGCAGAGAAGAGCCGAUGGGGAGAGACCAGCACACCUUUAUAUCCGAGUACCAACAACUGCAGCAGACAAACCGGAAGUAUGAGGGGAGCCACAGAACAAAGAUGGAAUGGGGACAUCGUCUCAGUUAGAGAUGACACGGACUCUGUCCCCAGAGAAAGGGCUGGAAUCGAUCACACUCAAGAUGACCAUAGUAGAGAGACAGCACAGCCAAAGGCUAAGAGGCUCAGAGCUUUGACAAAUGAUAAGGCUGCCAUGUGUAUUGAUGGGUAUAUUUGCUCACUGCUGGCUGCUAUUUU